UUCAGAGAUGAGAAUGUGCCUUCGGGAACCGUGAGACAGGUGCUGCAUGGCUGUCGUCAGCUCGUGUUGUGAAAUGUUGGGUUAAGUCCCGCAACGAGCGCAACCCUUAUCCUUUGUUGCCAGCGAUUAGGUCGGGAACUCAAAGGAGACUGCCAGUGAUAAACUGGAGGAAGGUGGGGAUGACGUCAAGUCAUCAUGGCCCUUACGACCAGGGCUACACACGUGCUACAAUGGCGCAUACAAAGAGAAGCGACCUCGCGAGAGCAAGCGGACCUCAUAAAGUGCGUCGUAGUCCGGAUUGGAGUCUGCAACUCGACUCCAUGAAGUCGGAAUCGCUAGUAAUCGUGGAUCAGAAUGCCACGGUGAAUACGUUCCCGGGCCUUGUACACACCGCCCGUCACACCAUGGGAGUGGGUUGCAAAAGAAGUAGGUAGCUUAACCUUCGGGAGGGCGCUUACCACUUUGUGAUUCAUGACUGGGGUGAAGUCGUAACAAGGUAACCGUAGGGGAACCUGCGGUUGGAUCACCUCCUUACCUUAAAGAA
rnacentral:rRNA from 1 species